GAUUUCUGGACUGAAGCCUCUAGCCGGCCGCGGUUUCGCGUGUUAGUGCUGGAUGCUCUGUCCAUCCUUCCAAUCGCUAUUGGCUAUUCUUCAUUGAAUGGUCCGUAGUAUUGGAUCUUUUACUUUGAAAAAAUUAGAGUGUUUCAAGCAGGCAUGUUUUGCUAUGAAUACAUUAGCAUGGAAUAAUAAUCUAGGACUUUCGGUUCUAUUUUGUUGGUGUUCUGGAGCUGAAGUAAUGAUUGAUAGGGAUAGUUGGGGGUGCUAGUAUUCAAUGGCCAGAGGUGAAAUUCUCGGAUUCCUUGAAGACUAACUUAUGCGAAAGCAUU
rnacentral:rRNA from 1 species